CCCUUAGAUGUUCUGGGCCGCACGCGCGCUACACUGAUGCAUUCAACGAGUCUACAACCUGGUCUGAUAGGGCUGGGUAAUCUUUUGAAUGUGCAUCGUGAUUGGGAUAGAUGAUUGCAAUUCUUCAUCUUCAACGAGGAAUGCCUAGUAAACGCAAGUCAUCAGCUUGCAUUGAUUACGUCCCUGCCCUUUGUACACACCGCCCGUCGCACCUACCGAUUGAAUGGUCCGGUGAAGCCUCCGGAUUGGCGCGCACCUCGGUGCCGCCGAGAAGUUGGCUAAACCUUACCAUUUAGAGGAAGGUGAAGUCGUAACA
rnacentral:rRNA from 1 species